AAAAAGACAAACCCUAGGUUUUCAUGUCCAACGUUUAACUGUCCGUCUUAUAUGAAAUUUUUUUAUAAUUAGUAUUUUCAUUGUUGUUAGAUGAUAAAACAUGAUUAAUACUUUAUGCGUGACUUAUCUUUUUAAUUUUUUUUAUAAUUUUUUCAAAUAAGACGAACGGUUAAAUAUUGGACACGGAAAUAAAGGGUUUAUCUUUUU
rfam:Oryza nivara chromosome 5, whole genome shotgun sequence.